AUGGAGCCGACCUUGAAAUACCACCCUUUAAUGUUUGAUGUUCUAACGUUGACCCGUAAUCCGGGUUGCGGACAGUGUCUGGUGGGUAGUUUGACUGGGGCGGUCUCCUCCUAAAGAGUAACGGAGGAGCACGAAGGUUGGCUAAUCCUGGUCGGACAUCAGGAGGUUAGUGCAAUGGCAUAAGCCAGCUUGACUGCGAGCGUGACGGCGCGAGCAGGUGCGAAAGCAGGUCAUAGUGAUCCGGUGGUUCUGAAUGGAAGGGCCAUCGCUCAACGGAUAAAAGGUACUCCGGGGAUAACAGGCUGAUACCGCCCAAGAGUUCAUAUCGACGGCGGUGUUUGGCACCUCGAUGUCGGCUCAUCACAUCCUGGGGCUGAAGUAGGUCCCAAGGGUAUGGCUGUUCGCCAUUUAAAGUGGUACGCGAGCUGGGUUUAGAACGUCGUGAGACAGUUCGGUCCCUAUCUGCCGUGGGCGCUGGAGAACUGAGGGGGGCUGCUCCUAGUACGAGAGGACCGGAGUGGACGCAUCACUGGUGUUCGGGUUGUCAUGCCAAUGGCACUGCCCGGUAGCUAAAUGCGGAAGAGAUAAGUGCUGAAAGCAUCUAAGCACGAAACUUGCCCCGAGAUGAGUUCUCCCUGACUCCUUGAGAGUCCUGAAGGAACGUUGAAGACGACGACGUUGAUAGGCCGGGUGUGUAAG
rnacentral:rRNA from 1 species